CUAAGAAUAUUCCGCAAUGGGCGAAAGCCUGACGGAGCGACGCCGCGUGGAUGACGAAGGCCGAAAGGUUGUAAAAUUCUUUUGCGGGCGAAGAAGAAGGCGCGGAGGGAAUGCCGCGCCGGUGACGCCGGCCCGCGAAUAAGCCCCGGCUAAUUACGUGCCAGCAGCCGCGGUAACACGUAAGGGGCGAGCGUUGUUCGGAAUUAUUGGGCGUAAAGGGCGCGUAGGCGGCCGCGUAAGUCUGAUGUGAAAACCCCGGGCUCAACCCGGGAACUGCAUUGGAAACUGCGCGGCUUGAGUCACGGAGGGGAAGCCGGAAUUCCUGGUGUAGGGGUGAAAUCUGUAGAUAUCAGGAAGAACACCGAUGGCGAAGGCAGGCUUCCAGCCGAUGACUGACGCUGAGGCGCGAAAGCGCGGGGAGCAAACAGGAUUAGAUACCCUGGUAGUCCGCGCUGUAAACGAUGCGCACUAGGCGUCGGGGCGAGCGUUCCGGUGCCGAAGCGAACGCGGUAAGUGCGCCGCCU
rnacentral:rRNA from 1 species